UACGUAGGGGGCAAGCGUUGUCCGGAUUUAUUGGGCGUAAAGAGCGUGUAGGCGGCCAGACAGGUCAGCUGUGAAAACUCGAGGCUCAACCUCGAGACGUCGGUUGAAACCGUCUGGCUAGAGUCCGGAAGAGGAGAGUGGAAUUCCCGGUGUAGCGGUGAAAUGCGCAGAUAUCGGGAGGAACACCGGUGGCGAAGGCGGCGUUCUGGACUGCAACUGACACUGAGGAACGAAAGCCAGGGGAGCAAACGGG
rnacentral:rRNA from 1 species